UGUUUCCCCCACAAUAUCCAUACAAUACGCAUGAUUCAACUUCUUUGUGUUUAGACACUCACAGCACUUGAUUAUGGUUAUGGAACGAUGGUGGUCUGGUUUAAUAUUGAAAAAGUCAACAAUGACUUUAAGCACGACACAGGACGUGUUUACUUUAUUAACAUUUAACAGAGACAACAAUCUUUUCCUUAAUGUUGCCAUUGAACAUAAUCCAGGCAGCAUUUAUUUUUUUCCUAAAAACAAAUUAGUAGUAUAUGAGCAUAAUUUUUAGACAGGGUUGCUAUGUGUAGUUCCUUUGUACCAUCAUGGAGUAUCAAGUUGAAACAUUUUCAACUCACAUAAAUGCAUCGAAAAAGAGAGAACUAGUGUGUCCAGGAAAAAGUAUUUUAAAAAGGCUCACUCUGUGGAGUCAACGGUCACAACAAAGAAAGAAAAGCCUUCUUCAGCCUGAUUUCGGAGGCUUUUGUUUAAACAUGCAAGUGUCAUUCAAUAUGAAGGCUUUUAUGAUACUCAGGACUCAAAGUCUGCAGUGGAAUUUUCUUUUCUCACACAGAGGCACCUUUGCCUCAGUUCAUGCUACCUAGAAUGAAUCCAUGUCUGUGUGAUCCUCUCUUUCCGUUUACUCUAUGCAAUUGUGCUGCAUUUAAGAUUCACUUUGCGUUCAGUCUGAACACAUAUACUCUUAAUCUUCCUGCAUCCCUCAGUUACCUUAACUUUACUGUCUAAAAUCCUUGGAUGGUACAUGAAGGUGUUUGCACCUAAAUACGAUAGUUUUUCAAUGCAUGUGUGCAUGUUCACAGGUUUGUACCUUUGACUUUUUAUCAAAGAACCAGAUAUUUUCUAACACAUGAUAUUCAUUUUUUUGUACUGAUGAUUUAACCAGAGUUUCAUGCUGAUUCAAGCCUUGAAGUGCUCCAACUGUGAGUCACGUAGCAUUGUCUGUGGGAAAAAUUAACUAAACUUUUACUUUCAGAACCAGCAGCAACUCUAUAUUGGUAUCAACUAACUGAACUUUGGCCGAUAGGACAAUUGGACAUAGGACAAGCACAUCUGACCCCAAGACCUGCUGGUGCCAUUUCAGUUCCAUCCAUGUGUUCAGUGGGCCAGAUCCUGCAUCAUCUUCACUCGCUACUUCAACACCAAAACAGUUUGUGGCCCAUCUGUCUCUGGAUUGGCACUGAGGUAAAAAGAGCUGUUUCCUGCUACCAUCUCCUCCAUCUUUUCCAGCAACUCUGUUACCUGAUCAUCAGCUGUGCUCAUAUUGUUAUGAACAUGAUACCUGUU